ACCUUCGUGGUGUAGUGGUCAGCACGCUCGAUGCGUAAACGAGAGGUCCGUGGUUUCGAUUCCCGGCAAAGGCG
rnacentral:tRNA from 1 species